GGGAGGAGUACAACAAGCUGUU
rnacentral:miRNA from 1 species